UUUUUGAAAACUUCACAAGCACUGAAAAUCCUAGAAUAUGAUAUAUUUUAGGAGGUUUAUGAAAGGAUGGAACGGACCCUGAAAAGCACUCUUGAAUACAGGUAAAGAAAGCAUUUCAUGGUUCACUUAUUGAGGACCAUCAACCACUUCAUAAUUUAGAACCUGAAGAUCGGAUCUUCUGAGAACCUCAGAGAAAGACUGCCCUUGUCAUCCACACUGCAGCAAAACUUCAGGACCUUGAACCUUGGGCUAAUAAUUUCACAACUGAGACGGCUUCAUCUACACCCUUGGAACUAUACCCAUUAGAACCCUUAAGGAUUUUGAAGCCAGCCUUAUACAUGGAUAAGCUUAUACCUUGAUAGAUGGAAGAUGAGGCGCAAUGAAGCUCUGCAAUGAAUUGAAUAUGUGAGUGCCUAUGCUGUGAAGAUGUAGGGAUGCUCCCUGUCCUCAAGAUGCUCA
rnacentral:lncRNA from 1 species